UCUGUUUUCUCAUUGGCUACUGGAAGCAGAGAAUCUGUUUUCUCAUUGGCUACUGGAAGCAGAGAAUCAAGUUUUUCCUCAUAGGCUACUUGGAAGCAGAGAAAUCGGUUUUCUAUAGGCUACUGGAAGCACUGUCAGAAUGUGGCUGAUUGUGCAUCCAAAUGGCACCCUAUUCCCUUGGUAGUGCACUACUUUUGAACGGACCCAUAGGGAAUAGGUGCACUAUUUUAGAACAGGACACAUAGGGAAUAGGGUGCACUACUUUUGACAGGACCCAUAGGGAAUAGGGUGGCACUACUUUAGACCAGGACACAUAGGGAAUAGGGUGGCCUAUGUUUUAGACCAGGACACAUAGGGAAAGGGUGCAUUAUUUUAGAACAGGACACAUAGGGAAUAGGGUGCACUACUUUAGAACAGGACCCAUAGGGAAUAGGGUGCACUACCUUAGACCAGGACACAUAGGGAAUAGGCAUAUUCCAUUAUAAACAAUCUCUGUUUAGAGGUGACCUAGCCCUAUUCCUUAUAAACAACUCUGUUAGAGUUGACCUAGCCCUAUUCCAUAAACAACCUCUGUCUAGAGUGACCUAGCCCUAUUCAUUAAAACAACCUCUGUUUAGAGGUGACCUAGCCCUAUUUCAUUAUAAACAACCUCUGUUUAGAGGUGACCUAGCCCUAUUCCAUUAUAAACAACCUCUGUCUAGAGGUGACCUAGCCCUAUUUCAUUAUGAACAAAAGUUGAACUUAGAGAACUUAGAGCCACUGUUACUUUUAUUGUAAAUUAUUUAACUUUUCAUUUUUAUUGUAAAUGAUUAAAAUCUUACUUUUAUUAAUUAAAUUGUACUUUAGCGUAAAUGAUUUAACUAACUUUUAUUGUUAAUUAUUUAAAUUUGAAUUUAUUGUAAAUUACUUUAAUGUUAAACUGUUAUCAUUUUCCAAUGUACUUUUCUAUGUA
rnacentral:lncRNA from 1 species